GACAGAGGGUGCAAACGUUGUUCGGAAUUACUGGCGUAAAGCGCGUGUAGGCGGCCCUGUAAGUCGGAUGUGAAAUCCCACGGCUCAACCGUGGAAGUGCAUUCGAAACUACAGGGCUAGAGUCCUGGAGAGGAAGGUGGAAUGCUUGGUGUAGAGGUGAAAUUCGUAGAUAUCAAGCGGAACACCGGUGGCGAAGGCGGCCUUCUGGACAG
rnacentral:rRNA from 1 species